rnacentral:rRNA from 1 species
AGAGUUUGAUCCUGGCUCAGGAUGAACACUGGCGGCGUGCUUAAGACAUGCAAGUCGAACGCAGUCGCUCCGCAAGGGGCGGCUGAGUGGCGAAUGGGUGCGUAACACGUAGGUGACCUGCCCGAAAGUGGGGAAUAACAGUCCGAAAGGACUGCUAAUACCGCAUGCGGUGCGCGGGGUUAGAGAACCGCGCUCCAAAGGUGCGAGCAAUCGUGCCGCUUUCGGAGGGGCCUGCGGCCCAUCAGCUAGUUGGUAGGGUAACGGCCUACCAAGGCGACGACGGGUAGGGGACCUGAGAGGGUGACCCCCCACACUGGCACUGACACACGGGCCAGACUCCUACGGGAGGCAGCAGUCGGGAAUAUUGCCCAAUGGACGAAAGUCUGAGGCAGCAACGCCGCGUGCGCGAUGAAGGCCUUCGGGUCGUAAAGCGCUUUUCGGGUGGAUGAGACAGGACAGUACACCCGGAAUAAGGUACGGCUAACUACGUGCCAGCAGCCGCGGUAAAACGUAGGUACCGAGCGUUAUCCGGAUUUACUGGGCGUAAAGCGCGUUCAGGCGGUCUGACAAGUCGGGCAUGAAAUCUCUCGGCUCAACCGGGAGAGGUUGUCCGAUACUGUCGGACUGGAGGGCAGUAGAGGGUGGUGGAAUUCCGGGUGUAGUGGUGAGAUGCGUAGAGAUCCGGAGGAACACCAGUGGCGAAAGCGGCCACCUGGACUGUACCUGACGCUGAAACGCGAAAGCUAGGGGAGCGAACGGGAUUAGAUACCCCGGUAGUCC